rnacentral:sRNA from 1 species
UUGCAAGAAAAAAUAAAGUUUGCGCGACAGCUCACCAUGAGUUACACGCUGUUUUUGCGACGUCAAGUGAAAGCGUAAGAAAGGCUCUUGGAAACCCAACAAAAGGGUCAAGAUAGACCCUUUUGUUGU